CGGCCAAUGGGAUUUAAAAAUUUCAUUGUUUGUGCAAGAGCCGUGUAGAGUGGAGUUGGAAGUGAUUUAUUCGUCUCCCGAAUUUCACCUUCGGGUAUUAAGUAAAGUGGACCUCAAUGGAUUUUUUUAAUAAGACGAGAAAUGAAAAACGCUGGCAUUCGGAAAGGAAGUUGAUGUUUCACAAAAAAUCACCACUCUCUGUAAACUAUGUGGACUGAUGGGAUUCAACUAUGGGACUCUGCCAAACCAUCCAACAUUAAUCUUCUGGAUACUUCUGGUAUUUCCGCAACCUCCAUAAACACUUGAAAACCUGGACAAUAGUCGACUAGACAGACUGAGGAGUCACUCCAAUACAAUAGCUCUGUCUCAUCUGAAAUUCAAUUGGCUGAAACGAGUUGACCGCUUGCACUUCAAAAAGGUGUCUGCAGUAUCAUAAGAUUGAAAUGUUUGCUCUUACUAUUAAAGAAUUUCAUCAAUAUUGAUCAAAAUUUUGCCUUUAACUUAAUUUAAAUUAAGAAAAAAAUGUAAAAAUAAAAACACUUAAGGUCUAAUGUUAAAACAUGAAAUCCGCAGCAAUGGCAUGGGAUUAUGUAAAUAAUGUACUAGCUUUUUGAAUUUAAAUGUAUUUAAA